UCCGGUCAUCGCGCCGAUUUGAAAUCACAGCUUGCGGGCGCGUAAUAAAUGCAGCUAAAGCGGCCUGACCAGACCCGCU
rfam:Thauera sp. MZ1T, complete genome.